rnacentral:rRNA from 1 species
UACCAGCUCCUCGAGUGGUUGGGACGAUUAUUGGGUCUAAAGCGUCCGUAGCCGGUCAGAAAAGUCCUCCGUUAAAUCCAGCGAUUCAAUCGUUGGGCUGCGGGGAAUACUCUCUGACUUGGAGGCGGGGGAGGUCGACGGUAGUCCAGGGGUAGGGGCGAAAUCCUAUAAUCCCUGGAGGACCACCAGUGGCGAAGGCGGUCGACCAAAACGCGCUCGACGGUGAGGGACGAAAGCUGGGGGAGCGAACGGGAUUAGAUACCCCGGUAGUCCCAGCUGUAAACGAUGCGGGCUAGGUGUUGGGACGGGUACGUCCCGUCUCGGUGCCGCAGGGAAGCCAUUAAGCCCGCCACCUGGGAGGUACGGCCGCAAGGCUGAAAUUCUGAGAGAUAAGCAAUUCCGAAAAGUCGCGGAUGUUCACAAUUGCUCCGCUGACUGAAGAACUGGUUGACCAAGAUCUUGGUUGUUUUCUUCGAACCUCAGAGUAUCCGUGAUAAUCAGAAUUACUUUCAACAGGUUUGUGGAUCGAGGUCACUUGGUGAAUCUGUCUCUCAGGACAGCAGACUUAAAGGAAUUGGCGGAGGAGCACCACAAGGGGUGAAGCUUGCGGUUUAAUUGGAGUCAACACCGGGAACCUUACCAGGAGCGACAGUUGAAUGAAGGUCAGAUUAAAGGUCUUACCGGACUAUCUGAGAGGAGGUGCAUGGCCGUCGCCAGUUCGUGCCGUGAGGUGUUCUCUUAAGUGAGACAACGAACGAGACCCGCGCUCUUUGUUGCCAGCGGAUUCCCACGGGAAUCCAGGCACACUAAGGGGACUGCCUUCGCUAAGAAGGAGGAAGGAGCGGGCCACGGCAGGUCAGUAUGCCCCAGAUCUCCUGGGCCACACGCGAGCUGCAAUGGCUGGGACAAUGGGCUCCGACAUCGAAAGAUGAAGGCAAUCCUCAAACCCAGCCUCAGUUGGGAUCGAGGGCUGCAACCCGCCCUCGUGAACAUGGAAUCCCUAGUAACCGCGUGUCAUCAUCGCGCGGUGAAUACGUCCCUGCUCCU